rnacentral:rRNA from 1 species
GCACAAGCGGUGGAUGAUGUGGUUUAAUUCGAUGCAACGCGAAAACCUUACCCACCUUUGACAUGUACGGAACCUUUAGAGAUAGAGGGGUGCUCGAAAGAGAGCCGUAACACAGGUGCUGCAUGGCUGUCGUCAGCUCGUGUCGUGAGAUGUUGGGUUAAGUCCCGCAACGAGCGCAACCCUUGUCAUUAGUUGCUACAUUCAGUUGGGCACUCUAAUGAGACUGCCGGUGACAAGCCGGAGGAAGGUGGGGAUGACGUCAAGUCCUCAUGGCCCUUAUAGGUGGGGCUACACACGUCAUACAAUGGCUGGUACAAAGGGUUGCCAACCCGCGAGGGGGAGCCAAUCCCAUAAAGCCAGUCGUAGUCCGGAUCGUAGUCUGCAACUCGACUACGUGAAGUCGGAAUCGCUAGUAAUCGUGGAUCAGAAUGUCACGGUGAAUACGUUCCCGGGUCUU